rnacentral:rRNA from 1 species
GAAACAUCUAAGUACCCCGAGGAAAAGAAAUCAACCGAGAUUCCCCCAGUAGCGGCGAGCGAACGGGGAGGAGCCCAGAGCCUGAAUCAGUGUGUGUGUUAGUGGAAGCGUCUGGAAAGGCGCGCGAUACAGGGUGACAGCCCCGUACACAAAAAUGCACAUGCUGUGAGCUCGAUGAGUAGGGCGGGACACGUGGUAUCCUGUCUGAAUAUGGGGGGACCAUCCUCCAAGGCUAAAUACUCCUGACUGACCGAUAGUGAACCAGUACCGUGAGGGAAAGGCGAAAAGAACCCCGGCGAGGGGAGUGAAAAAGAACCUGAAACCGUGUACGUACAAGCAGUGGGAGCACGCUUAGGCGUGUGACUGCGUACCUUUUGUAUAAUGGGUCAGCGACUUAUAUUCUGUAGCAAGGUUAACCGAAUAGGGGAGCCGAAGGGAAACCGAGUCUUAACUGGGCGUUAAGUUGCAGGGUAUAGACCCGAAACCCGGUGAUCUAGCCAUGGGCAGGUUGAAGGUUGGGUAACACUAACUGGAGGACCGAACCGACUAAUGUUGAAAAAUUAGCGGAUGACUUGUGGCUGGGGGUGAAAGGCCAAUCAAACCGGGAGAUAGCUGGUUCUCCCCGAAAGCUAUUUAGGUAGCGCCUCGUGAAUUCAUCUCCGGGGGUAGAGCACUGUUUCGGCAAGGGGGUCAUCCCGACUUACCAACCCGAUGCAAACUGCGAAUACCGGAGAAUGUUAUCACGGGAGACACACGGCGGGUGCUAACGUCCGUCGUGAAGAGGGAAACAACCCAGACCGCCAGCUAAGGUCCCAAAGUCAUGGUUAAGUGGGAAACGAUGUGGGAAGGCCCAGACAGCCAGGAUGUUGGCUUAGAAGCAGCCAUCAUUUAAAGAAAGCGUAAUAGCUCACUGGUCGAGUCGGCCUGCGCGGAAGAUGUAACGGGGCUAAACCAUG